AAGAAUUCUCCUUAAGCAGUGAUGUGUAUAUCUGUUGUUAACGAAAUGGACAACCAAGUCCAAUCUUCAUGAUGGCAGCAUGUCAUACAGAGUAGAAUGAAACUAAAGGAAGGUACAACCAAAUCCAUUCACCCAUCACAGCACAGUUUGGAGCAGGCUUCUAACCCCACCUCUGAUUCCAAGCACGGCCACAAUCUCUGGGUGGAGUUCACCUACACUACUAGGCACAACCUUUCUACAUAUAAUUUCUGAAAGAGGUAUUUACUGUAUAAUUUUAUUUGA
rnacentral:lncRNA from 12 species